UGGGAGCGGGGCCGUGGGAUGGGAGUCUGCCCCGGGGCUUGGAGGGGCCCGCACGGCUGCGGUGGGUGCGUGGCAGGAGCGGGCGGCGUGGCGGUGAAGCGGCGGGCGGUCCCGGCUGCCGGGCGGUGCUGGUCGCGGACGGAGGCCGCUCUGUGUGGCGCAGGAGCCGGGGCGGACCCGGUCGCUCUUGGGGAUGUGCCCCCCGCGCCUUCCGGGGAGAGGGGCCCGUGCGGGGCUGUAGCAGCCACGGUGCUUGGCCCUUGGAUCAAGUACGCACUGUGGGUUAAAGAGCAGGCCUGGCUUUGGUGGGGCGGCUGCCCUCAGGCAGCAGAUUGUCCUUGUCGCACACCAGGUGACAGCCUGCGCAUCGCUGGUUUGACGGGGUUUUUUGAGGGUUCUGGCUCUGUCUGCUGCCUGAUAAUUGCACUAAUGGUGUCUGGUUGUCAGAGACAUACGGCUUAGUGUGACCAGCAGGAGGAGCUUUGCUUCCUUUUAAAGUCCUUAGUAUGUCUGUAAGGGGGUAGGUUGAGAUUAGAUAUAAGGCAGAAAUUCUUUACUGUGAGGGGGGUGAGGCACUGGCACAGGUUGCCCAGAGAAGCUGUGAAUGCCCCAUCCCUAGAACUGUUCAAGGCCAGGCUGAAUGGGGCACUGGGCAGCCUGGUCUACUGGAGGGUGUCCCUGUCCAUGGCAGGAGAGGGUUGCAACCAGAUGGUCUUUGAGGUCACUUCCAACCCAAAUGUAUAAUUCUAUGUCCAUAGACACGUAAAUCAUGUUUAGAAAAAGGUGAGAGAGCAGAUGAUAUGGUGUAAGACAUCUCAGCAUAGUAUGGGAGCAGCCAAGCUGACUUGCUUCCCCACUGUUUUGCCUGGGAUUGCUGUCUCAUGUUGGCAUGGCUUAGCCAGCUGACUAAGUGCUGUCUUAGCUUCAGCCCUCUGGCUGGCAUGCAGGACUUAGGAUGGAAUUUUGAGCAGUGGUUUUAGACUUUCUUGUAGUGAACAUUAUCCCUGCUUGUGGUAGUCUUUUGUGCUGGGGAAUGGGAAAUACUUGUUCAUCAAAUGAAAGAGUAAUCAAAGUUCUGUGAGCCUUAAAGGGACUGGAGUUCCCUGAAACCAUGUGUGGAAGGCCUGUGCUCAAAACUGGAAGGGAAGAUGGUCAAAGUGUUGCAUGGCUUGUGAAAUAAUACCCUUUCUAGUUACAGCUGAUUCCUGUGAAAUAAAGCACUUCAUUAUGCCAAGAGGAUACUUAAUUGGAAAGGGUUGUGAAGAGUUUUGCAGGAUUGCUUGAAGUCUUGGCAAAAGUCCAGUAGUGGUACAGCUCAGGUAAAAUGGAGUCACAAGGGUGUAUUUCAUUCUUUAGCUCCUCCUGGAGGUAAGUAUAAGGCAUUUGCUCAGGGCAUUGCUGCCCAGUAACUACACAGGUGGUGUGUUUGCUACAGGAUACAUGAGUGCUGGAGGAAGGAUGUUGUGAGAUGUUCUGUGGUGCAGAUACUUCGCCUGAACAUUGCAGCCUUUCAAGAUUUGCUGGUACUACAGCAAUGUGUGCUAUGCUUUUAUCACUUUAGAUGCAGCUCUCUCUAGUUAAAGAAGCUGAACCAGUUGCAUGCCAUCCUGCAAAAAGUCCAGUGUUCUGAGGGUGCUUCUCCUCACAGGCAGGUUCUCCUGUUUUAUCAUACUCCUCACUGAAGAAAAGGAGUGGUGGGGGUGUAAUGCUCCGUUAAUAAAAUUUGUAGCAUCAAUAGUUCCAUACAUCUGGAGAAUUCUGAAUUACAAGUACAGCCCCUUUUAUUUCUUUCCUAAUUCUGUUUCUCCUCUACACAGAUACUUUUGGUUAGGUGAGCUGUGGGUGAAAUAAAGGGCACUAUGACUUCUGUCACAGCUGUUGUCCGCUGUAGACUUUAGGCCUCUUCUUUUAUCUCUGCAGCUGAUACCUGAUGUAGGUGCCACUGAUGUCUCAUCUAAAGUAGGAAAAAAUAAAUUACUUCAGAAAGACCCAGAUGAGCACCUGAUGCAAGAGAGAAGUAAAACAAGUUUUCUCUGCGUGUGUUGUUCACUUUGGUCUGUUUUGGAGGAUUUGAUACUUGCCAGUGUAUGGAUCUUACUUGUUGGUCACAGCUUGUCAGACAUGUUAAUGAUGAAACCUGUGUUACAUAUCUCAGACUUGGAUAAUCUGUUCACCUGAAAGUGCCAAUGUCCAAAUCUAUCCUGACCCAACAGGCCUUAAUUGCAAUGUCUGUAAGAAGCUUACAGUCCUAUUGCAGAAAUAGGUGCUGUGGCUGCAUCUCAUAUGAAAAGACAGAAGGUGACAGUAGAACUAAAAACCCACCUGUGGCUUUUCCUAAACAUCAGUAUGCUCUGCUUUAAUGCUGUUAAUGAAAACCUACUCCUCUGUCUCUGUGGUCCUCAGCCUAUGCAGCGGAGAGGUUAGUGUGUACUUUACUAUGCUGACAUCCUGCACUGCAAUACCUAUGGGUUGUCUUUGUUACUGAAGUGAUUUUGGUGGACUCUGGUAAGCAACCACCCUGUUUCCUGACCUGGAAUCAGUUGGAAGAUCCUGAAGGAGGGAUGAGGAAGUUAAGUAGGAAUGUGUGAUCACAUUGCUCAAAGAAGAAAAUGCUCAGUCUAAGUUUAAUCCAAGUUCUUACAAGAAGCCUGUAUUCUUGUCUCAGUGCUCAUUCUGACAAGUUUGCUCUUAAAGAAACCAAGCAUUUGGAUGCUUAAAUAGAGUAUUCACUGGGUGGUAUACAAAGCCAGGCUGCAUAAGAAAUACAGAUUUCAAGAUGAAGUGUACUAAUACAUCAUGUCAUAAUUUUUAAGGUGUGUGGUGGUCUAGUCUACUGUCACUGUCACAUCCACAGUGCAGCACAGAAAACUGUCGGGGUCCUUGGAAAUGAUGGUCAGGCAUAAUGUCAUUCCUGGUAUACAAAUUAACUGUACGAAAAGAUUUGCAUAUGCACUGAAACAAAGUGGAAUAUGGUUUCUAAGAGUGAUACCAUCUAUGCUAGUCUUGGCACGUAAAUUUUGUUUUAAGAUCCUCUUUUUUAAAUUAUCCUGGCUGUAAAACAUAGUUGUCUGCAGUCCCUUUGGGGGAAGGAGUGGAAGUGUCACUGACCAACUGCUUAUUUCAAAGCCUGUGGGGGAAGGGUGUAAAUCCUUUCAAAUUAAAGUUACUGCUCAGAUGAUAGUGGAUGAAGAAGCUGUGAUGCAGGUUGAUUUAUUUUGUUUCCUAUGGAGCUGGAACUUUCCCAAGAAGUUUCUGGAGCUGCAAGGGGAAAGGUGAGAGGAUGAGUUCAGCUAGGAAGAACAGGUAAGUACUUGUAUAUCGCAUUACUGUUUCCAAGUAUCUUAAUGAUAAUGAUAAGAAUACAUUGUGAGCUUGGAAAAACAGGAAAGAGUGGAAGGCUUCUCUGCAUUUUUAAAAUCUGCUAAAUGAAAAUGUGGGGAGUCAGCUGUUAAACCAAUACCUUGAAGAGCCUAGUAUUUGUGCAUAGCCAAACGAAUGUAAAGCAACUCUGGAAAUAAUUCUAAUGACUAAUUAUAAGGUGUUACCCUUUUGUCUUUCAGCAGAAAGAAGAGUGCUCUAAGAGCAGUGAAGAGUCAAAUUAGGAUGGACGUGUUCUUCAGCUGAAACAUGGCAGCGGUUCAAUACAGUUACACAACAGAAAAGGGUGUGCAGGCUGCUGCAAGUCCCUGUGUUCUUAAGAUCUGGUAUCUGAAAGAACUGAGUAGAGAGAGAAAGGUGGUUGCUUCCACAGCUUCGAACUUGUUCAGUUCACUCUAACAAACUCAGUUGAAAAAAGAGCUCAUCUAAUACUGAAACAGGAAAUAGAUUUUAUUUUAGAUACUGGGGAAGAUAAUCACAAUAUGCAGAACUUAAAAGGGCUAGUCAGGACACUGAAAAGCUGCUGGCAGCUGAAGUACAGGAGGCUCCAAGACUCCAGUUGUGGGAAGCUCCCUUUUGGAAGGCACACUAGCAGUGGGAAGAACUUGAUAAACACAAGGGGAAUCAAAAGGUCUGCAGCUGCUAGCUACACACGGAUAUAUUUCUUAAGGUGAGAUGGCCUGACAUGGCCACUAAAAACCGUAAGGCUGUAGGCAGACUGCAUUUCUCUUAAAAGGAUAUAUGCCACUACCCAGAUCAGAACCAUCCAAACAGCUUCAGUUUUUGUCAAAUACUCUUAGUUCUUGGAACAAUAGCUUUUUUUGGUCCACCUAACUCCUGCAGAGCCAGCUGGCUGAUUGUAACUGUGCACUGAAGAUAAGCCUUCACCACCCCUGGAUUGCUGGAUAACGGCACACAAAUGUGGCUCUGAUAGACGGAGGGCUGAGCGUAAAUCCUUUGGCUGCCACUGUUCUGACUUUAAUAUAUACAAUGGGUGCCCUGAGCACUUCCAUGUGGAACAAGAAACACUUGAAGCGCAUGUUUAGAUGUAUUUUCUGUGUGCACUGCCCUCUGCAGCACAAAUCUUGAUGAAAUCCUGUAUUACAUAGAGCAGGUAGAGUGUAUCCCACAGAGGUUAUGGUUGGUGUGGACCUGACUCAGUUGUCACUAAUCCAGGGAAGAUCUAUUUAUGUUGUGGUGUGGUAAACCUGAGUUGGUAACUGAUACUGUUUAGUUGAUGGGCUUGUCCAUGCCAGGAGAGCAGUUCCUGAGCUGACAAACAUUCAAGCAUGGUACUAGCUUUUACGUCUUUCAACAUUGAAAAAAAAAAAAAAGUGGGAGGAGAGAGAACAGGAUUUUUAAGGGCCACAUAAAUUUUACUGAAAUUAAAAGCUCACUAAGAAUAUGUUCAUUGAAGGAAUGCAUUUUGGGAAAUUACCUCUUUUGACAAGGGCAAUACGAGCCUUUGGUUAUGGCAAGUGUCCGGCACUGUUAUUUGGCCCUUUUGUAAGGUUGUAGGGGAAGAGUGUUGGAUGAAGGGAGAGUGAAAGCCAUAACCAGAGGUUAACAUUUAAUUUUAGCAGCUAUGUUUAUGUGAAGUGAUGCACCAUUGCUAAUUUUCAAAGGAAGUCCCACACCUAAAUUGAUGGAAUCCCUGAUCGUGUGUGCAAGUGUCUUUGGGUUCUUCAGCUGUUUGAGUGCAGUGGUGCAAAAUUACAUGUUGCUUCCUCUAUGAUUCAGUUUAAAAUACAAGCUUGGGCAGUGAGUACCUAAACAACA